UACGAAGGGUGCAAGCGUUACCCGGAAUUACUGGGCGUAAAGCGUGCGUAGGCGGUUUGUUAAGUCUGUCGUGAAAGCCCCGGGCUCAACCUGGGAAUGGCGAUGGAUACUGGCGAGCUAGAGUACGGUAGAGGAGAGUGGAAUUCCCGGUGUAGCAGUGAAAUGCGUAGAGAUCGGGAGGAACAUCAGUUGCGAAGGCGGCUCUCUGGACCAGUACUGACGCUGAGGCACGAAAGCGUGGGGAGCAAACAGG
rnacentral:rRNA from 1 species